UUAAUUCAAGACGUUUCGACUCAGGUUUACUUCCAUCUACCUACGAGAGACUUUAAAGUAAUUGUCGAACGCUCUGAAUAUACACUGAAGUAUACUUAAUGUUUUCUCUCACGUAAUCUCUUUCUUACUCUGUUUCUCACUUUCUUUCUGUCUAUCCUCAAUCUUUUUUUUUUCUUGCAGUCUGUUUACUUUUCACUAAAUUUAUCAUAUACCUAAUGUAUAAUAAUGCGCUUUAAAUAUUUAUAAAACUGUCCUUUUUCAUCAUUGCGUUCAUACGAUUGUGACACGUGCAAAACAACUUUCCAACGUAAGUGAAAUAUGGAGCAACAAGUUACCAGUCAUCCUUCCUGUGAAAAACCUUAUAGGUGUCAAGUAUGCGAUAAAAGUUUUAGUACAAAACAAUAUUUAACUAACCAUGAAGCAGUUCAUUCAUUGUUGCGUCCGUACAAAUGUGACAUAUGCGAUACAGCUUUUACAACUAAGGCACAUUUAAAAAGCCAUAUCAAACGUCAUCUUAAAUAACCUUAUAAAUGCCAAGUGUGUGGUACUUUUUUCAAGUCACAAAUACAGGUAGAUGAACAUAGAAUUUGUGUUCAUUACACAUAUAAUAUAUGAGAAAAAAGUUUUAAAAAGAGUACUUUUUUGAGAAACAAGAUGUAUCAUGAAGGAAACAAUCAGAAGAAAAGUAUUCUAUUAACAUUAUUCUUGAUUGACGUUUCGACCGUCGUAUUCGGUCUUUUUCAAAAUCCUUAUAUAAUAACAAAUCGCUGGAGUUACGUAUGAUCAGUUCUGUUUUUUAAAGGUAAGAUCAUAGUAAGUUGUUAAUUUGAGUCAACGCAACGACAAUCAUGUCUUUACAAAGUGAUAACAGCAACUGGAAUUAGUUGCUCUUAUCACAAUAAGUUGCUGGUAUCACUUUGUAAAGACAGGAUCAUCGUUGCGUUGACUAUUCGUAAUAGAUAUGUAUGUAUAUACAUGUAUUAUAUGUAC